rnacentral:tRNA from 1 species
GCCGGAAUAGCUCAGUCGGUAGAGCAACGCAUUCGUAAUGCGUAGGUCGGGAGUUCGAGUCUCCCUUCCGGCA